GAGGGUAUAGCUCAGUGGUAGAGUGUUUGGAUGAGGUCCUGGGUUCAAUCCCCAGUACCUCCA
rnacentral:tRNA from 1 species